GAUGAACGCUGGCGGCGUGCCUAAUACAUGCAAGUCGAGCGAACAGACGAGGAGCUUGCUCCUCUGACGUUAGCGGCGGACGGGUGAGUAACACGUGGAUAACCUACCUAUAAGACUGGGAUAACUUCGGGAAACCGGAGCUAAUACCGGAUAAUAUAUUGAACCGCAUGGUUCAAUAGUGAAAGACGGUUUUGCUGUCACUUAUAGAUGGAUCCGCGCCGCAUUAUCUAGUUGGUAAGGUAACGGCUUACCAAGGCGACGAUGCGUAGCCGACCUGAGAGGGUGGUCGGCCACACUGGAACUGAGACACGGUCCAGACUCCUGCGGUGGGACGCAGUAGGGAAUCUUCCGCGAUGCGCGAGUGCCUGACGGAGCAACGCGGCGGAAGUCCUGAAGGUCUCCGGCUCGGAGAACUAUGUAAUUAGUAAGAAAGAAAAGUGCUUGUAACUGUGAAGGUAAUGACGGUACCUAGUCAGAAAGCCCCGGCUAACUACGUG
rnacentral:rRNA from 1 species